UUUGUAGGGGGAAGGAAGGAGAUGGGGUGGUUGAGCAACCUCCAGAUGGGAAGGGCCAAAGAAGGAGCACCAUCAUAGGUGAAAACUCUCCGCAGGACCCCCAUAUUUUGGGGAGUAUGAAAAAGGAACUAUGCCCUGGUCUGAAGGGAGAAGGUGGCUGCAUAGCUCAGUGCAUUAGGGGACCCAGAGGUUGGGAGUUCAAUUCCCCACUCAACUUCCCAAUCAGAGAGAUAGCCUGCGUUGUCUUGGGGAAGCUGCCCAGUCCCAGGGCAACCCCAGGAGAAGGGAAUGGGAAACUAUUUCUCAAGACGCUUUAGCUGGAAAACUCUGGAAAGGGUCACCCUAAGUCAGAAUUGACUUGAUGGCACAAAAUCAUCAUUCAUUAGGCAGAAAGAGAGUGUUAGAUAAGGAGUCUGGAGCCCUCCAUGGACAUUCCAGCACAGCCCUUGGGGGUGCAAAGUAUCUGUUUCUUCCUGUUGGGCAAUCCUUGAGAUCAGUUGACAUGUUAUCCCUUUUCUGGAGAGGAGGGAAUUCCCUCACCCUCAGCAAUGCCAAUGUUUCCCAGACCUGCCCUCGUCAUAGGCUUUUGAUGGCUAAUUUAGAUGUACUUCCGUAUCCCGGAGGGAAAGGCUUGGUUUGAUGAGGCUACACUGAAGACAGUGGAUUCAAAGCUUGAUCCCUCGAUCGCUGAAAGCCUGGGAGGUCUCUGGGCCUUCUUUCCCUGGCAAUGUUUAUGCAGAGACCAGAAACACACCUGGCGUGAUAGUUUUACUACACCUUACUACAAAUGUGUAUAUACUGGAUCUUCUCUGAGGACCCCCUACCAGUCCUGAUAUUCUGAUUGCAGUUGUGCAGGAAACCAGACACAGUGAGAGACCUACUAAAGCUACUUCGCCCCUUUCUGUCUCGGAAGGAUUAUUUCUGCAGCCUUCGAAAGCCCUUCUUCCCCAGACCCUGCUGCUCUGUCGCGAAUGCCUCUUUCCCUGGCUGGAGGUCAUUUUAUGUACCGUCCUAUGUUGGAGAAGAACAAGAAAGGGGAGCACAGUCCCUUUGCCUUCCUUCAGAUGGUCUUUGAUGCCUCCUGCAUUUCUCGGAUACUUCUGAUAUUGAGGAGAGGAACAAAAAACACAUAGAAGGAAAAAGCUUUUCUCAUCAUAACAACAUUACACACUAUGCCACACACACCAGAUACCAACAACAAUCAUGAAGCAGUUCAGGAGAAGGAAGGCUUCAUUUCCAAAAGCUGCCAGCACAGAACUCAUGGAUUUUCUUCCAUAGAUUUUAAUUGGCAGAUGGUUAGAUAAGCAUUAGAAAAUGUAGUGUUUCCAUGUGUGUUUUUUUAAUAUAAAGACUAAGAAAUGCUUUUUUACUUUACAUAUUCUUUCUUUUAAGAACUUUGCUACAUUCUAUGCUUUUUCAAUGUGCCUUUUCAGGCUACAGUAUAAGCUUUUGUAUUUUUAAAAUGUAAGCUACUGCCCUAUUGAAACAUUUAUGACAUGAGUUAAGUUUUCCCUACGAAUUAAGCUUUGUUUUUCCAUGUCCCUUUUGUUUGCAUAACUGUAAGAAUUUUGGACAGCAAUCUCACCUACAGCUUUCCAUACAUUGAAAGAAUAGAUUUCUACCGAAGCAUUUCUGCCUACAAUUUUUAUCAUAGCUGUAAGAAUGUUUACUACAUGUUUGAGUUUUUACUUUUUGAAGUAUUUUGUGCAUGUGGAAUAUAGAAGCAUUGUAGAAUUAGACAAGCUGAUGCUGUCUGGAAUUAUUGCAACAAUAAAAUGACUUUUACUUGAUACUCAGAUAAA